rnacentral:antisense_RNA from 1 species
GCGGGGCGGGCGGGGUCUGGGAGCCUGGAGGAAGCGAGAGCUUUGGCGCAGGCCGCCUGCGCGCUGUGCCAGGAAGGCGCUUGGAGAAAAUGUCCGGCCCCGCGACCUGGGACAGGAAGUGAUGGAGCACGGACUUAGUUUGCCUUUCAGUUCUUGUAUAAAUAGUUUUGAGGGUUGUCUCUGAAUUUUCACCCAGUUGUCUACCAAGAGCCAAGGACGUGGUCUUUUAUCAGUGGCACCUGAGACUUUCUUCCCUGUGGACGCAAAUCCAUUAUUCAGCACUCUGGGCACAGCUACAGAUCUGAUCAGCUAUCCAUUCUCCAAACUAUCUCAUCCUCUGUCCCAUUUUUCUGUCUCUCUUGUCCACAAGGCAUAUACCUGAGAGUUUUCAAAUUCCUCAGAGAAAUUUAGCUGUUCUGUGGCUUUGGCAUUCACCUAAUGUGUUAAUCUACAAACCUUUUUUACAGUGUGGAUUUUUUUUUCAUGAUGUGAAUUCAAGUGGUUUC